AUUGAACGCUGGCGGCAGGCCUAACACAUGCAAGUCGAGCGGAUGAAGGGAGCUUGCUCCUGGAUUCAGCGGCGGACGGGUGAGUAAUGCCUAGGAAUCUGCCUGGUAGUGGGGGAUAACGUCCGGAAACGGGCGCUAAUACCGCAUACGUCCUGAGGGAGAAAGUGGGGGAUCUUCGGACAUCACGCUAUCAGAUGAGCCUAGGUGGGAUUAGCUGGGUGGUGGGGUAAAGGCCUACCAAGGCGAGGAUCCGUAACUGGUCUGCGAGGAGGAUCAGUCACACUGGAAGUGAGACACGGUCCAUACUCCUACGGGAGGCAGCAGUGGGGAAUAUUGGACAAUGGGCGAAAGCCUGAUCCAGCCAUGCCGCGUGUGUGAAAAAGGUCUUCGGAUUGUAAAGCACUUUAAGUUGGGAGGAAGGGCAGUAAGUUAAUACCUUGCUGUUUUGACGUUACCAACAGAAUAAGCACCGGCUAACUUCGUG
rnacentral:rRNA from 1 species